GUGGUUGCCGGGUGGGUGCUCUCUACUAGUGCUGUGCAGAGGCUUUCGCUGAAGCUGCUGUGAGCUUGUAGAGUUUCCCCCUGGACCACAGAGCUGG
rfam:Equus caballus chromosome 10, whole genome shotgun sequence.